rnacentral:rRNA from 1 species
GACGAACGCUGGCGGCGUGCUUAACACAUGCAAGUCGAACGGAAAGGCCCUGCUUUUGUGGGGUGCUCGAUUGGCGAACGGGUGAGUAACACGUGAGUAACCUGCCCUUGACUUUGGGAUAACUUCAGGAAACUGGGGCUAAUACCGGAUAGGAGCUCCUGCUGCAUGGUGGGCGUUGUAAAGUUUCGGCGGUUGGGGAUGGACUCGCGGCUUAUCCGCUUGUUGGUGGGGUAGUGGCUUACCAAGGCUUUGACGGGUAGCCGGCCUGAGCGGGUGACCGGCCAAAUUGGGACUGAGAUACGGCCCAGACUCCUACGGGAGGCAGCAGUGGAGAAUAUUGCACAAUGGGCGGUAGCCUGAUGCAGCAACGCCGCGGGCGGGAUGACGGCCUUCGGGUUGUAAACCGCUUUCGCCUGUGACGAAGCGUGAGUGACGGUAAUGGGUAAAGAAGCACCGGCUAACUACGUG